UAAUGGGUCAGCGACUUAUAUUCAGUGGCAAGGUUAACCAUCUAGGGGAGCCGUAGGGAAACCGAGUCUUAACUGGGCGUUCAGUCUCUGGAUAUAGACCCGAAACCAGGUGAUCUAGCCAUGGGCAGGUUGAAGGUUGAGUAACAUCAACUGGAGGACCGAACCGACUAAUGUUGAAAAAUUAGCGGAUGACUUGUGGCUAGGGGUGAAAGGCCAAUCAAACCUGGAGAUAGCUGGUUCUCCCCGAAAGCUAUUUAGGUAGCGCCUCGGACGAAUACUACUGGGGGUAGAGCACUGUUAAGGCUAGGGGGUCAUCCCGACUUACCAACCCUUUGCAAACUCCGAAUACCAGUAAGUACUAUCCGGGAGACACACGGCGGGUGCUAACGUCCGUCGUGGAGAGGGAAACAACCCAGACCGCCAGCUAAGGUCCCAAAUUACUACUAAGUGGGAAACGAUGUGGGAAGGCUCAGACAGCCAGGAUGUUGGCUUAGAAGCAGCCAUCAUUUAAAGAAAGCGUAAUAGCUCACUGGUCGAGUCGGCCUGCGCGGAAGAUGUAACGGGGCUAAGUAGUAAACCGAAGCUGCGGCAAUAUACUUUUGUAUAUUGGGUAGGGGAGCGUUCUGUAAGCGGUUGAAGGUGUGUGGUAACGCAUGCUGGACGUAUCAGAAGUGCGAAUGCUGACAUGAGUAACGAUAAAGGGG
rnacentral:rRNA from 1 species